CCUACGGGUGGCAGCAGUGAGGAAUAUUGGUCAAUGGACGAAAGUCUGAACCAGCCAAGUAGCGUGAAGGAUGACUGUCCUAUGCGUUGUAAACUUCUUUUGUAAAGGAAUAAAACGAGGCACGUGUGCCUUUUUGCAUGUACUUUAUGAAUAAGGAUCGGCUAACUCCGUGCCAGCAGCCGCGGUAAUACGGAGGAUCCGAGCGUUAUCCGGAUUUAUUGGGUUUAAAGGGAGCGUAGGUGGGCUGUUAAGUCAGUUGUGAAAGGUUGGGGCUCAACCGUAAGAUUGCAAUUGAUACUGACAGUCUAGAGUACAGGAGGGGGAAGCGGAAUUCGGGGUGUAGCAGUGAAAUGCUUAGAUAUCACGAGGAACACCGAUGGCGAAGGCAGGUUACUGAACAGUGACUGACAUUGAGGCACGAAGGUCUGGGGAUCAAAAGGGAUUAGAUACCCGAGUAGUC
rnacentral:rRNA from 1 species